rnacentral:rRNA from 1 species
UCAGCCCGAAAAGGUGGGGAGCAAACAGAUAGAUACCCUGGUAGUCACGCCCUAAACGAUGUCAACUAGUGUCGGGAUUCAUUUCCUGGUAACGCAGCUAACGCGUGAAGUGACCGCCUGGGGACUACGGCCGCAAGGUUAAAACUCAAAGGAAUUGACGGGGACCCGCACAAGCGGUGGAUGAUGUGGAUUAAUUCGAUGCAACGCGAAAAACCUUACCUACGCUUGACAUGCCAGGAACUUUCCAGAGAUGGAUAGGUGCCCGAAAGGGAACCUGGACACAGGUGCUGCAUGGCUGUCGUCAGCUCGUGUCGUGAGAUGUUGGGUUAAGUCCCGCAACGAGCGCAACCCUUAUCCUUAGUUGCUACGCAAGGGCACUCUAGGGAGACUGCCGGUGACAAACCGGAGGAAGGUGGGGAUGACGUCAAGUCCUCAUGGCCCUUAUGUGUAGGGCUUCACACGUCAUACAAUGGUCGGUACAGAGGGUUGCCAACCCGCGAGGGGGAGCCAAUCCCAGAAAACCGAUCGUAGUCCGGAUCGCACUCUGCAACUCGAGUGCGUGAAGUCGGAAUCGCUAGUAAUCGCGGAUCAGCAUGUCGCGGUGAAUACGUUCCCGGGUCUUGUACACACCGCCCGUCACACCAUGGGAGUGGGUUUUGCCAGAAGUGGGUAGCCUAACCGCAAGGAGGGCGCUUACCACGGCAGGGCUCAUGACUGGGGUGAAGUCGUAACAAGGUAGCCGUAA